GGGCAUUUGUUUUUCUUGGUUACAGGUGCUUUGUUGAGAAUGCAUCUUUUGUGUAAGUCACUGAAUGGCUGUAUAAAAUACUCACAGCUCCCCAAACACAGGGAUACUCCCUUUUACCUCUGCAACUUGGCACACACUGCAUUGCACCUGCUGAGUUAUUUCUCUUGCUAAGCCCUUCUCAUCCAUCAGGCCUCAGUUUGGACACCAUGUCCUCCAGGAAGUCUCUCCUAAUCACUAAAAACUGGGUGAAAUGGGUGCCUGCCCUCUUUGUGCAUCCAUGCUGCUAUGAGAACAGUUACCGCACUUCAAAAGAAUGAGCAGUUUUCUCGACAGUCUUCCCAUGAAACAGUAAGCUCGUUGGGGUAGGGACCCAGUCUUGCUCACUACUGUAUUCUUAGUGCUCAGCAUAGCACCUGGCACUGUGGGUCCCCAAUAAAUAUAAGCACAUUUGGAGAGUCUCUAUAAUUUGAGAGUUGGCAGGAAGACAGAGGUCAGGAUGGAGGCUUUGUCAAAUUGUCUGUCCCUUCCCAUUGAUAUUACCACAGUUGUAAGUCCUGCUAAAAAGUACUUCUGCUUCCUUAGAUGUGUUCCACUAGACACAAUAGUAAGAACAACAGUGCAGGGAAACUCAUGUGAAGCCUCCCAAAGUGCUGGGAUUACAGGCAUGAGCCACUUCGCCUGGUCAGUUUAUAUGUA
rnacentral:lncRNA from 1 species